CCUACGGGCGGCAGCAGUGGGGAAUAUUGCACAAUGGGGGGAACCCUGAUGCAGCAACGCCGCGUGGGUGAAGAAGUACUUCGGUAUGUAAAGCCCUGUCAGCAGGGAAGAAAAUGACGGUACCUGACCAAGAAGCCCCGGCUAACUACGUGCCAGCAGCCGCGGUAAUACGUAGGGGGCAAGCGUUAUCCGGAUUUACUGGGUGUAAAGGGAGCGUAGACGGCAAGGCAAGUCUGGAGUGAAAGCCCGGGGCUCAACCACGGGACUGCUUUGGAAACUGUGUUGCUGGAGUGCAGGAGGGGUAAGCGGAAUUCCUAGUGUAGCGGUGAAAUGCGUAGAUAUUAGGAGGAACACCGGUGGCGAAGGCGGCUUACUGGACUGUAACUGACGUUGAGGCUCGAAGGCGUGGGGAGCAAACAGGAUUAGAUACCCCAGUAGUC
rnacentral:rRNA from 1 species